rnacentral:rRNA from 1 species
GACGAACGCUGGCGGCGUGCCUAAUACAUGCAAGUAGAACGCUGAAGGAGGAGCUUGCUCUUCUGGAUGAGUUGCGAACGGGUGAGUAACGCGUAGGUAACCUGCCUGGUAGCGGGGGAUAACUAUUGGAAACGAUAGCUAAUACCGCAUAACAGUAGAUGUUGCAUGACAUUUACCUAAAAGGUGCAAUUGCAUCACUACCAGAUGGACCUGCGUUGUAUUAGCUAGUUGGUGGGGUAACGGCUCACCAAGGCGACGAUACAUAGCCGACCUGAGAGGGUGAUCGGCCACACUGGGACUGAGACACGGCCCAGACUCCUACGGGAGGCAGCAGUAGGGAAUCUUCGGCAAUGGACGGAAGUCUGACCGAGCAACGCCGCGUGAGUGAAGAAGGUUUUCGGAUCGUAAAGCUCUGUUGUAAGAGAAGAACGAGUGUGAGAGUGGAAAGUUCACACUGUGACGGUAUCUUACCAGAAAGGGACGGCUAACUACGUG